UGGGGAAUUUGGACAAUGGGCGAAAGCCUGAUCCAGCAAUGCCGCGUGUGUGAAGAAGGCCUUCGGGUUGUAAAGCACUUUUGUCCGGAAAGAAAUCCUUGGCUCUAAUACAGUCGGGGGAUGACGGUACCGGAAGAAUAAGCACCGGCUAACUACGUGCCAGCAGUCGCGGUAAUACGUAGGGUGCAAGCGUUAAUCGGAAUUACUGGGCGUAAAGCGUGCGCAGGCGGUUUGCUAAGACCGAUGUGAAAAUCCCCGGGCUCAACCUGGGAACUGCAUUGGUGACUGGCAGGCUAGAGUAUGGCAGAGGGGGGUAGAAUUCCACGUGUAGCAGUGAAAAUGCGUAGAGAUGUGGAGGAAUACCGAUGGCGAAGGCAGCCCCCUGGGCCAAUACUGACGCUCAUGCACGAAAAGCGUGGGGAGCAAAACAGGAUUAGAUACCCUGGUAGUCCACGCCCUAAAACGAUGUCAACUAGUUGUUGGGGAUUCAUUUCCUUAGU
rnacentral:rRNA from 1 species